rnacentral:rRNA from 1 species
UACGUAGGGUGCAAACGUUGCUCGGAAUCAUUGGGCGUAAAGCGCACGUAGGUGGCUUGUUAAGUCGGGUGUGAAAUCCCUGGGCUCAACCCAGGAAGUGCACUCGAAACUGGCGAGCUUGAGUACUGAAGAGGGUCGCGGAAUUCCCGGUGUAGAGGUGAAAUUCGUAGAUAUCGGGAGGAACACCAGUGGCGAAGGCGGCGACCUGGGCAGAUACGUGACACUGAGGUGCGAAAGCGUGGGGAGCAAACAGGG